AUUGAACGCUGGCGGGAUGCCUAACACAUGCAAGUCGAACGAGUGGCGGACGGGUGAGUAAUGUCUCGGAAAGUGCCCAUUGGAGGGGGAUAACUACGCGAAACGGUGGCUAAUACCGCCUACCAUGGGAUGUGCCCAUAUGGGGUGAGCGAUGAGGUGGGGUAAAGGCUCACCUGGGCCACGAUCCCUAGCUGGCCUGAGAGGAUGACCCGCCACCCUGGAACUGAGACACGGUCCAGACUCCUACGGGAGGCAGCAGUAGGGAAUAGUGGGCAAUGGGCGCAAGUCUGACGGAGCCAUGCCGCGUGUGUGAAGAAGGUUUUCGGGUUGUAAAGCACUUUCAUUGGGGAGGCGUUACCAACAGAAGAAGCCACGGCUAACUCCGUGCCAGCAGCCGCGGUAAUUC
rnacentral:rRNA from 1 species